ACAGGGUAUGGUCUCCGACCGCGUGUGUUCGAAUCGCACAGCGACCGGGUCGUUUGCCAGAGUGGUUAAUGGGUGCCCCUGCUACU
rnacentral:tRNA from 1 species